AUAGCGUAUAUUUAAGUUGUUGCAGUUAAAAAGCUCGUAGUUGGAUUUCGGGUGGGUUCUAGCGGUCCGCCUAUGGUGAGUACUGCUAUGGCCUUCCUUUCUGUCGGGGACGGGCUUCUGGGCUUAAUUGUCCGGGACUCGGAGUCGACGUGGUUACUUUGAGUAAAUUAGAGUGUUCAAAGCAGGCUUACGCCCUGAAUACUUUAGCAUGGAAUAACACGAUAGGACUCUGGCCUAUCUUGUUGGUCUGUAGGACUGGAGUAAUGAUUAAGAGGGACAGUCGGGGGCAUUCGUAUUUCAUUGUCAGAGGUGAAAUUCUUGGAUUUAUGAAAGACGAACUACUGCGAAAGCAUUUGCCAAGGAUGUUUUCAUUAAUCAAGAACGAAAGUUGGGGGCUCGAAGACGAUUAGAUACCGUCGUAGUCUCAACCAUAAACGAUGCCGACUAGGGAUUGGCGAAUGUUUUUUUAAUGACUUCGCCAGCACCUUAUGAGAAAUCAAAGUUUUUGGGUUCCGGGGGGAGUAUGGUCGCAAGGCUGAAACUUAAAGAAAUUGACGG
rnacentral:rRNA from 1 species